AUUGGUUUAUAUCUCAACUGUUUAGGUAUGGAAUCAUUUGAUGAGCUUUUAGAAAUGGAAUGCAAAGAAAACGUAUCUUCGGAUAUGUUUAAGAAGAUACUUAUAUGUAAACCGACACAUAAUCCUAUAAACAUCAUAAAAAAUCCGGAGCCAAAUAUUCUUGAAAUAACACAAUGUUUAGCGGCAAACUUAGCUCAUGCUUAUGAAGCUGAUUAAACUAGACUGGAGCUAUGAGUAUUUUAUCUUGUUUAUGAGUUAAUUUGAUACGUUUUAAUAAGUAUUUUAUGAUUAUAAGUCUUUAAAUCAUAACAUAUUUAUUAAAUAUAUUCAAUUAAAUAUAAAAAAAAAUAAAUCACUGUGGAAGUUGCUAGAAAAAAAUUAAAUAAAAACCUGAAUAGAAGAAUAGUAUCAUCAAUAUCGUUUAAUACACACAACAGACUCUUUCUUGGGUUUCCUCAUAGAACAUAUUCAUUUUCGUUCUACUAAAUAGCAGAUGUCUCCAUUCCAUUGACAGUCACGCUUGUCUGUUCGUGAUACAAAUGACCAACAAGAUCGACACGCCUGUUUAGUGGCCAAAACCAUAACUAAAUCCCUCUGCCUUGGGCCUAUUACGUGUGUAUCAAUGUGCAGUCUCAUUUGUCGAAAUGCAAAGAAGCGUAAAAAUGGAGAAAGCAUCACUUCUUUUCAAUAAACCCAAAGAGAAAAGUUGAUGCAGUAUUUUCCUUUGACUUUUGCCAGGUGUUUAGCACACCAGUCCAGGUCUCUUGUAAAUGAAACCAGAUAAAUAUGUUCUUCACGCUUUGCAAGAACUCUUCAAUAAUUUGUUGAUACCAGUUCCAAACUCUCUUUCAUAGCUUUGUGGACAGAAAACAGGUAAAACUGUA